UACGGGGGGGGCAAGCGUUGUUCGGAAUUACUGGGCGUAAAGGGCUCGUAGGUGGCCAACUAAGUCAUACGUGAAAUCCCUCGGCUUAACCGGGGAACUGCGUCUGAUACUGGAUGGCUUGAGGUUGGGAGAGGGAUGCGGAAUUCCAGGUGUAGCGGUGAAAUGCGCAGAUAUCAGGAAGAACACCCGUGGCUAAGGCGGCUCUCUAGUACGGUACUGACGCUGAGACGCGAAAGCGUGGGGAGCAAACAGG
rnacentral:rRNA from 1 species